rnacentral:rRNA from 1 species
CAGCAGCCGCGGUAAUACAGAGGGUGCGAGCGUUAAUCGGAUUUACUGGGCGUAAAGCGUGCGUAGGCGGCUUCUUAAGUCGGAUGUGAAAUCCCUGAGCUUAACUUAGGAAUUGCAUUCGAUACUGGGAAGCUAGAGUAUGGGAGAGGAUGGUAGAAUUCCAGGUGUAGCGGUGAAAUGCGUAGAGAUCUGGAGGAAUACCGAUGGCGAAGGCAGCCAUCUGGCCUAAUACUGACGCUGAGGUACGAAAGCAUGGGGAGCAAACAGGAUUAGAUACCCCCGUAGUCCUGUCUCUUAUACC